rnacentral:rRNA from 1 species
AUUGAACGCUGGCGGCAGGCCUAACACAUGCAAGUCGAACGAGUGGCGGACGGGUGAGUAAUGUCUGGGAAACUGCCUGAUGGAGGGGGAUAACUACUGGAAACGGUAGCUAAUAACGAAUACCAUCGGAUGGGCACAGAUGGGAUUCGCUAGUAGGUGGGGUAACGGCUCACCUAGGCGACGAUCCCUAGCUGGUCUGAGAGGAUGACCAGCCAAACUGGAACUGAGACACGGUACAGACUCAGACGGGAGGCAGCAGUGGGGAAUAUUGCACAAUGGGCGCAAGCCGGAUGCAGCCAUGCCGCGUGUAUGAAGAAGGCCGUCGGGUUGUAAAGUACUUUCAGCGGGGAGGCGUUACCCGCAGAAGAAGCACCGGCUAACUCCGUGCCAGCAGCCGCGGUAAUUC